GUGAGCGCCGGGGCCGUGCCGGUGGCGCCCCGCGACCGGCCACCUGCGCGGGGGAGCUCCCCGCGCCGCCGUGAGCGCCCGCCGCUGUGACACGGCCCCCAGGGUCGCCCCGCCGUGCCGCGGUUCGCUCCGUGCUGCUGCUGCCGUGCGAGCGAGCAUCCAGGCGAUUCCCGGCGCCGCGGAGCCCGGGAGCCGGGAGAUGCCCGGCGGCACCGACGGGCCCGGCUGCGGGCCUGGAGCGGAUGCCCGCGCAGCGAACAGCCCCCCUCAGCCUGUGUAUCCCCGGGUUCUCUGCCCCCCACGCAAGUUGGGCGCCCUUGAGUUGUAUUGCCUUGUUGAAGUUUAAUAUUUGGGGAUAGGGAAGAGAGUUUCGGCUUCUAUUGUGGCGUCUUUUCUUUUCCUGGCUGUAAGUACUUCCAGAUGGGAUUUAGACCCCAGACGUAACAAUAUUUCCAUAUUUGGUAUAGCAGUAGCCCGCAUUUUUCACAUUUUUCUGCUCUGUUAUCCAACCACAAAGCAUUCUUGACAGCUUCAGAUGUUGUUAAAUAUAGCCUUAACUUCUGUUCCCAGGGCAGGAAAUUCUUUGGAAUUCCUGUUUUUCACGCAAUCUGUCUAUCAUGAUUUAGGAGAACUCUGCUGGAGGAGCCAACUGGCGUUCUGCUGCAGCUCGCUUCUUUAUUGAAAUAGCCCAGCAGUUGGGUCUGCUGCCCAAAGGCGUUACAAUGAGUCCCCAUUCCAGGGAUUUUUCUUUGCAAAUUAGAUUACUGUUCCCAACACAAGUUCGGGGUUUUUCUUGUCGCCUUCAAGGCUGGAAGGUAGAGAAGCUUAUUCAAAAAAGAGGCAAAAGCUUGCAAAAACCCCUCCAAAGGCCAUGAAAAGUGGAGGGGGAGAGGGCGAGUGGGACAGCGGGCGGGGGAAUGCGGAGAGGAGGGAUGUGAUUAACCUGGCUGCGGCAUUCCCGUACAGCGGGACGGGCAGCCGGGGAGGGGAGGCACCGCAGCCCCGCCGCUCGGAGGAGCCGAGCGCGGUCGUCUCGUCGCCUGCCCGGUGCCACGGCCCAAAGGGUGACAGCAAGGACGGUGCGCAGGGCUCCGGCCUGUGUCUCUCCAGAGAAAGGACUUUCCAGAGAAACAAAUCAAGAAAAAAUAACUGGCUUAAUUUCCCUCCACCCAGCAACAGUUCUUCAUAGCUGUACACAGGGACCAUGGAGCAGCAAGAAAGGUUGUGUGGGACAGAGGCUCCUCGGGUGCUCCCACUGGCAGUAAGUAUCCAGCCCCAAACUGGAGUACACCAGAAGUUUACAACCAUGUGGACUCUGGAGAAAAAUCUUACUAAAUCCAGCAUCCAGCCCUCUUCUGUAUUGUGUUUAAUUUCCUCUUUCUCUUUUGCCGAUCCAUUGAUGUGUGUUUCUUCCAGCUCUCCUACCUUUUCUUCUCUUUUUUGCUGUUCCAGUCUUUUCACCACAUCCUUCCCUCUUCUGCUAUGUCCUGAUUUUGGCUGGGAUAAUUUUCUUCCUAGUAGCUGGUACGUUGCUGUGAUUUGAAUUUAGGAUGAGAAGGCUGUGGAUAGCACACUGUUUCAGUUGUUGCUGAGCAGUGCUUGGACUAAGUUGAGGACUUUUCAGCUCCACUCCCCACCCCACCAACAGGGCUGGGAAGCACAAGAAGCUGGGAGAAGACACAGCAGGGACAGCUGAUCCCAACUGGCCAAAGGGAUAUUCUGUAUCAUAUGACACAUGGUCAGUAUGUAAAUUAGGGGGAAGCUGGCCAGGGGCCACUGCUUGGGAACUGGCUGGACACUGGUCAGGGGAUGGUGGGAAAUUGCAUUGGGCAUCACUUCUUUUGUAUGUUCCUUUUGACUUUUACUAUUACUAUUACUUUGCAUCCUUUUCUGUUCUAUUAAACUGUCUUUAUCUAAACCCAUGGAUUGUACUGUUGUUCCCAAUUCCCUCCCCCAGCCCGCUGCAGUCCAUGAGCAGCUCUGUGGUGCUCAGCUGCCUGCCGGGUUAAACCACGACAGUGUUUACCUACCUUGGGCUGGGCCUCUCCCGCAGCCUCUGCCAGGCCGCUGGUUCCUGCUGCACUAAAUCAGUCCUCCCUGAGUCAAUGGCUCCUCUCAGUCACUCACAGGAGGUGCAAAUCCAGUGGGGCAAAUUAAGCACAGAAAUGCACAGGCAGAGCAGCCAAGUAGCCAGGAGGCUUCGGCAGCUAAAAUUCAAGUGGGUUCAGAAGUUUUUCCUUGCUUUGAUUUGCUCAGAGUUUAUGCUGAAUUCUUUUGAGUAUGGCAUUUCCUAUUUGUUUUCUUCCUCUUCCCUACUGCCCUCCCUUCAGCUAAGCUCAUGCCUGUCAGUUUUUGUACAGUCUGUGCCUUGCUUGUGGUUUCUAACAUGUGGGGGGUUUGCUUUGCAGUAUUUGUGCAGUGAGUGCACUGUGCUUUGUAAGUGUGCUGCAUUUUCCUCUGGCUGCUGUCAAGGUGUCUUGGGGGUUCCCAUUGUGUGGAAGUGCAAGGGGGACUUGUGAGCCUCCUCAUCCAACAGGGAAACAGAGAAGGAAAAUCUGAUGUCAUAUGCAGUUGUGCUUAUUUCUGCUUUGGUGUGUGAAUUGCAUGACUGUACUUACAUGGAUACACGGAUACCUGCAACUUACAUGGAUAAGGGACACGGCAAUGUUACAGAGGCUGGAAGCAUCCCUGCUGACAGUCAGGGCUGGCAUGUUCCAGUUGAGCCCCUGUGGGCUGUGUGUCUGUGCUGCAUGGCUUCCUCACACUGAGCUGGAUGCAGAAACGUGCAGCAGUUACAGCCAGCUCCUGCUUAGUUCCUCCCCAGUCAGACUCAAAAUGCCUUUGUCGUGGUCAUUCAAGGAUCUGACUUUAACUUUACUUCAGCACCAGUGACUACCAUUACCUCAGUGAGAUGACUGAAUUACUUACACGUGUUCACCUAUUGUCAUGCAGGUGUACUUCAACACUGGGCUACAUGCAGAAGAUGCAGCUUGCACCAAGCACUUCCCCAUAGCUGAAGUUUGCAAUGGUAAGGCUAUUGUGGGCUGUGUCUCUCCGUGCCACAAAAUAAAAAUCAUCAGACGGUCCUAGCUACACCUGGCUGCACAUGUAUUUCUUAGUUAUGUCUAUUGUUUUCAUCCCAUACAGUCAUGAAGCUUGCAGAAGGUAGCAAAAUAGCCUGUAAUCUCUUUAUAAAUUCCAGAAAAGAACUCACAGCUGCAUCUCAUGACUUACAUGAAGGAGGCUGAGGUGUCAGGAGCAUACACAGGUUCUUUCCCAGCAUCUGCUGAGACAAAGGUCUCAGGCAGAGAUCUCACUGCAGAGAAUUCAUCAUCCCAAGUGACCUCAGUGGAAACAUCUUAACUUUAAACUUUGGUCUUCAGAGUGCAGGAUUUCCCAGUGGAGCGAUGCAUAUGCACUGACAUCUGCUAAGACAAAAUAACCAAGCUCAGAAGAAAGUUGCUCAUGAUCACAAGGAGUUACUGGAGCCAGCUGAACCUGAGAUUGCAGUCAAUUGGGCUGUGCCUGAGAAAUCCUUGAUCAAAACACACUUCCAGACUGUGAUCUGUAAUGGUUGUCAGCUGCAGUCUGCCUUAGUCUACAACCUAACUGCACCUUGGAGACAACCAGCUCCUGCUUGUAUCUGUGCUGUGGGACUGUCUGCUCAGAACAUGCACUCUUUGGUAGCUUCAGGUUUGUUUGUUUUCUUUUUCUACAUUUGAAAUAUAUUGCAAACUCUUCUUUUUUCAAAGGUGCUUUCUUUCAUUAUAAGUAAUAAUCACAACUACAUUUCCUUAAGGUUAGUCUGUGUUAAAGGUAUAGGAAUCCUUUGCCUUCCUGCUGAUGCUUUCCCUCCCUCCCUCCCUGCUGUUUAUGACCUGACAGAAUAGUUUCUCUCACUGAUUUGUGGACAUUCAAAGGGGUUGCCUAGUCUCUAAUUUUAUUAACAAAUUUUUGUAGCCGUUUUCUUGAAAAAAAAUAAGAGAGUAUUGAUUAAUUUUUUUUUUUUCUUUGCGUGCAAAUGGGAGGAGAGGCCUGCUCUGGCAGGAUGCUGAACAUGCUCUGCCACACAGUGCUUUCUGUCACUUACUGGGCUUUCCAGGCUAGCUGCUGGAAAUGUCACAGGAUUAAUUUCAGAAUCCCCUAAGGCGCCUGUUGGCUUUGUCCAAAAUCAUUACUCAUUCUCUGCUUUGUACUCAUUUUCUGUUACUAAAACACAGUGAGACCUUAGCUGUGUUUGCUGCAUUACUGUUAAUUUCUAUUCUGCUCCACCUGUACUCCUACCCCUUUUCCCCCAGUAUGUUACGUGAGCACCUUGCAGUGGCAGCUGGCAGUGUUCUUCUCUUAGGCAUGCUUAUUUGAUGAGCUAAGUGAUGCAAGGAAGCCAGCCCCACCUCCUCCAGGGACACUCCACUGCUGGAAAUUAGUUGCUUCUGCCUCUUGCUUCCAGUCUGUGAUAGUGCAGUGGAAAAAUCAAUAGCAGACAAAUAAUUAGACACGAUGUCAUCCUUGCAGAUAGGGAGGACUUGCAGGCAGACAGCAGAUCAUAUAUGUGCCUUAAGAAUGCUUGUGGAGAUGGAGUUAUGAUCCAAGAAUGUGCAAAUGGCUUCCCAUCCCAGUGUUGCGUGCUGUGAUGGGGAAGUAGUGCUAAACCAUCUCUAGACUUGAUUAGUGUACAAACACAAAAGGCUUGUUUUGUUAUGGGGAGGUGGUUGGGGUGAUUUUUCUAGGUGAGCAAAGAAGAAACUACGUGAAUGGAAUCUUUCUUUACCUUCUCUCUGCUGGGGGCUAAAAUAAAACUGGAGGGAGCGAUAUGGUGAGAGCUGGUGGGCUGCUCUGAGGAAGGGCACACGUGGAUUCUAUCCAGGAGCUGUAUGCAGAGCCUCAGGGAGAAGGACACCUCUGAGCCAGCCAGGAGGCCUGUCUGCUGCCCACUCCUUUCCCAGCAACCAGUGUUCUCAGGAAGUAAAAGGUCAGCAGAGGCUAUCAGCAGACUACUUCGGUGCAGAGACUUUUUUAUGACUGCAUUAACAACACUUUUCCUGUUGUUGUACAUAAGUUAUGGCUCCUAGUGUCAGUGUUGAGAUGAAAGCAGAAGCUCUUCUGUGUGGAACAAGCAUUAAAAGCUAGUGGAUGUGCUAAUUGUAAAAGAAAAUUAGUGCUGGCUGCCACCUAUUUACUUUCAGAUAAAUUUGCUUUUGUAUUUUAAUUAUUUUAACACUGUGCAUCCAUCUCUACUCUUUUGGACACAGUCAACCACAAGUUUGCCACUGUCCUCUCUCACUGCCUAACCUGGACUCUGCUUCUGUAACCCCUCCAUGAGCUCAGAUCUCAGACUUACAGGAAAAUUUAGAAUCAGAGCAGAAAAAUGGUGGAUAGGAUGGGUCUUUCAGGUGAGCAGUGUGUGAUAACAUGAUGUUCUCACAUGUUAAUGUUUGUAACUGGUUGUGAGAGGAGAGCCUCUGGUUUUAAGGAUGUACCCUUGGACAGCCUUUAACAGUGCCAUGACAAAAUAAAAAUCAUUUAUUAAAA